rnacentral:lncRNA from 1 species
AUUCUCACACUGACUUCACCAAGUCAUGAAAAGGACUAGUGACUUGCAAAUCCAACCGACAUUUCGUAAAUCCUCCCACUAACUUCACCAAGUGAUUAGAAGGACUAGAGACAAGUUGGUCCAACUGAUAAGUCGAUUCAAGGCAUCUAAAUCAGUCAUAUUGAUUAACCUUAAUGGUAUGGGCUAACUCAAAUCACUUAGCAAUCUAAUCACAAUCUAAUUCACCAAAUUAGUCAGGUAAGUG